UGCUCAGGACUUUCGCGGUCUAUUCGGAGGAGGCGGAAAGCCCAAGGAUAAGUACGGUACCGCCCCUCUGACACGGGAGGGGCUAAUCGAAGGAGGCAUCGCUCACAGUCUGACAGGCACGUUGCUGUGUGGCACUCGUAGUCUCAAGAGACCGAAAAUGCAGCAAGCACGCGGCCCUAUAGCUGCCGUCGCUGCCGACAGCAAGGGCACCACCACACGUAGGGGGUCGCCAAUAGCGUCCGCGGACUGCUCUCGGCUCGAGCGCAACCUCACGCAAGCGCUCAAGCUCGCCGAAGCCAUCGCUACCACUCCCUCUACAGACUUUUCGACGCCAGCCGGCAGCCCGGGUGAUGGCAUCGACGGGCUUACUUUGCUCACGUCCCCGAGCAACUCGCCCACAAUCGAUCCGGCACUUACGCUGUCGAAUUUCCCUGGAGGCGAUCAAACGGCAUCGGGAGUGCGCAGCGAGGUCACUGGCAGCCCGAACGACGGGUCCGCGGCGGCGGCGCAGCAGCGCCUGCUGCGUGCGAAGGACAACGAAAUCGCGCACUUGCGCCGCACCGUCCAGGAGCUCAGCAGCCAACUCCACAACGCGCUCACCACACUUGAUCAGCGCGAAGACACGUCGGCUGAGCUGCAGGAGCUGAAGAGGACGUACGACGCGGAGGCGGAGCGGCGCGAGAAAGAGAUGCGACACGCCCGCCUGGAAACGCUAGAAAGCCGGGUCAGAUACCGCACCCAGGAGGAAAAGCUGGCGGAGACCUACACUGCCGACGUGCACGCGAAGGCGAUGGAGCUGCUAGAGCCACACACACAGGAGGUGCACGACAAGAACUUUGAGCUUAUGAAGGAAAAGAUCAUUCUAGCGCAGGAAGUCACAACGAUGCGUGCCAAGUACAAGGAUUUGCAGGAGAAGUAUGCGCUUCUGAAGCACAAGACCGACCUCGACGGUAGCGCCACACGCGAGAUGCUCCAGCGCAGUCUCUUUCAGAAGAAUGAGAUCGCCUCACUUCGGCUGCAGGUGAAGAUCACCGAGGACAACCUCAACGCUGUUGUCGCUGAUUAUGAUAAAAAGCUCCAGGCGGAGAGCAAGAUGCGCGAAGAGGCGAUUCAGUCACUGACGCGUGAGCGCGAUGCAGCGCGGCGAGACGCAUUGCAGCUCCAGCGCGAGCUGGCGCAGCUGCGAAGCGCAGCUGGAAACGUUCUAGCGCAGCGCUCCGAGCUUGAAUCGUUCUUUUAUGCGGCUUUGGAAGAGGUUCGUCAAGGCGUCGUCGCGGAGCGUCGGCAGUUGCUGCUGGAGAAUACGCCGAAGGGGGAUGUUGUCAACGCAAAGCAGGCGUCGCCGGUGCACACCAUGUCGUCUUUGUUGCGACUGGAGGUCCCUAAGCGACUCAUGCUGACGGAUAGCGCAGGGCCUGCGCUGCUGAGGUCAUUGUCUCCUGCGGGCUGGACUGUUGAUCGCAAGGGCUUCCCAAAACGUAUCGGUGCAGCGGCCUCAACGAACACGCGGCGGCUAGCAGGAAUCGCGGUUGCCUCGUCGGCAAGCUCGGCACGCCGCUCGGCGCCCCUAGGCCAUACGGCGCUGUUGAACUUGCAAGCGUUUCCUCACGUUGAGAGCGCCAUGGUCGACGGCGCUCUCGUCACACUGCCGGAUGCAACUCCGUCCUAUCUGCGCAGUAGCGAGCAUGAGGUGCCCUCUCUCUUGGUGAGAGCGACCGAUCGCUGCGCGGCGUUAGCCGCUCCGGCGGUUCAAAGCGGGUGGCACAGCACCCCCUGUGAAGACGGCGCCCCGUUUCGACUUGGCCCUGCGACUGUGGAAGAUGGCUAUGAUGCUCCCUUUCCGGCUCCAGCGAAGCAGUGCGGUGCCCUAGACGCGGCCGAGACGGAGGACUUCUCUCCUCUGCGAAGCCUGCCCAGCGCCCCAACCUGGCAAGACGUCAAGAGUGUCGACGUGAGUGAGCUGCGCUGGGUGGACAAAGAGCGCGUUAUUCAGCUGCUUUUUAAACGUAUCCGACAAGAGGGUCGGCAACAUGCAAGGAUGUUACAACACGCGAGCCUGAAAAGCGAUCCAUUAGCGGCGAAGGUUGACGCCGUCGCACCCGUAGACGCGCUGCCUUCCGACGCAACAGAAUUGGGUCACAACUCGCUCACGUUUCUGACGCAGCAGUAGAAGCAUGCGACUCUGCUGUAUUGGUUGGUCUCCACCUCCUCUCUCUCUCUCCGUACCGGUUUGCUGUCCAUCACCUGUGAAG
rnacentral:misc_RNA from 1 species